rnacentral:rRNA from 1 species
UACAGAGGUGCCGAGCGUUAGGCGGAAUCACUGGGCUUAAAGCGUGUGUAGGCGGAUGCCUAAGUACCUUGUGAAAUCCCCCGGCUUAACCGGGGAACUGCUUGGUAUACUGGGUGUCUUGAGCCACUUAGGGGCGACCGGAACAAACGGUGGAGCGGUGAAAUGCGUAGAUAUCAUUUGGAACGCCAAUGGUGAAAACAGCUCGCUGGGGGUGUGCUGACGCUGAGACACGAAAGCCAGGGGAGCGAACGGG